CCUACGGGGGGCUGCAGUGGGGAAUAUUGGACAAUGGGGGCAACCCUGAUCCAGCCAUGCCGCGUGUGUGAAGAAGGCCCUCGGGUUGUAAAGCACUUUCAGUGAGGAAGAACGCCUGGUGGUUAAUACCCAUCAGGAAAGACAUCACUCACAGAAAAAGCACCGGCUAACUCCGUGCCAGCAGCCGCGGUAAUACGGAGGGUGCGAGCGUUAAUCGGAAUUACUGGGCGUAAAGCGCGCGUAGGUGGCUUGAUAAGCCGGUUGUGAAAGCCCCGGGCUCAACCUGGGAACGGCAUCCGGAACUGUCAAGCUAGAGUGCAGGAGAGGAAGGUAGAAUUCCCGGUGUAGCGGUGAAAUGCGUAGAGAUCGGGAGGAAUACCAGUGGCGAAGGCGGCCUUCUGGACUGACACUGACACUGAGGUGCGAAAGCGUGGGUAGCAAACAGGAUUAGAUACCCCGGUAGUC
rnacentral:rRNA from 1 species